rnacentral:snoRNA from 1 species
CAACAUGAUGAGACGAACACAAUUGUUUUAAUUCUGGUACCUCUUAAGUGAGAGGGCUCUCGAGCUCUCAAUGCACUUACUGGACUUCUGAUC